GAUUCGUCACACUAUCAUUAACUGAAUCCAUAGGUUAAUGAGGCGAACCGGGGGAACUGAAACAUCUAAGUACCCCGAGGAAAAGAAAUCAACCGAGAUUCCCCCAGUAGCGGCGAGCGAACGGGGAGGAGCCCAGAGCCUGAAUCAGCAUGUGUGUUAGUGGAAGCGUCUGGAAAGGCGCGCGAUACAGGGUGACAGCCCCGUACACAAAAGCGCAUGUGCUGUGAGCUCGAUGAGUAGGGCGGGACACGUGGUAUCCUGUCUGAAUAUGGGGGGACCAUCCUCCAAGGCUAAAUACUCCUGACUGACCGAUAGUGAACCAGUACCGUGAGGGAAAGGCGAAAAGAACCCCGGCGAGGGGAGUGAAAAAGAACCUGAAACCGUGUACGUACAAGCAGUGGGAGCACCCUUCGGGGUGUGACUGCGUACCUUUUGUAUAAUGGGUCAGCGACUUAUAUUCUGUAGCAAGGUUAACCGUAUAGGGGAGCCGGAGGGAAACCGAGUCUUAAUUGGGCGUUAAGUUGCAGGGUAUAGACCCGAAACCCGGUGAUCUAGCCAUGGGCAGGUUGAAGGUUGGGUAACACUAACUGGAGGACCGAACCGACUAAUGUUGAAAAAUUAGCGGAUGACCUGUGGCUGGGGGUGAAAGGCCAAUCAAACCGGGAGAUAGCUGGUUCUCCCCGAAAGCUAUUUAGGUAGCGCCUCGUGAAUUCAUCUCCGGGGGUAGAGCACUGUUUCGGCUAGGGGGCCAUCCCGGCUUACCAACCCGAUGCAAACUGCGAAUACCGGAGAAUGUUAUCACGGGAGACACACGGCGGGUGCUAACGUCCGUCGUGAAGAGGGAAACAACCCAGACCGCCAGCUAAGGUCCCAAAGUCAUGGUUAAGUGGGAAACGAUGUGGGAAGGCCCAGACAGCCAGGAUGUUGGCUUAGAAGCAGCCAUCAUUUAAAGAAAGCGUAAUAGCUCACUGGUCGAGUCGGCCUGCGCGGAAGAUGUAACGGGGCUAAACCAUGCACCGAAGCUGCGGCAGCGAACGUAUCACC
rnacentral:rRNA from 2 species